GAUGAACGCUGGCGGCGUGCCUAAUACAUGCAAGUCGAGCGAACGGACGAGAAGUUUGCUUCUCUGAUGUUAGCGGCGGACGGGUGUGUAACACGUGGAUAUCCUCCCUAUAAGACUGGGAUAACUUCGGGAAACCGGUGCUAAUACCGGAUAAUAUUUUGAACCGCAUGGUUCAAAAGUGAAAGACGUUCUUGCUGUCUCUUAUAGAUUGAUCCGCGCUUCAUUAGCUAGUUGGUAGGGUAACGGCUUACCAAGGCAACGUUGCAUAGCCGACCUGAGAGGGUGAUCGGCCACACUGGAACUGAGACACGGUCCAGACUCCUACGGGAGGCAGCAGUAGGGAAUCUUCGGCAAUGGGCGAAAGCCUGACGGAGCAACGCCGCGUGAGUGAUGAAGGUCUUCGGAUCGUAAAACUCUGUUAUUAGGGAAGAAAAUAUGGGUAAGAAACUGGGCAGAUCAUGACGGUACAGAAUCAGAAAGCAACGGCUAACUACGUG
rnacentral:rRNA from 1 species